rnacentral:lncRNA from 1 species
CUACAAUACUAUCGAUAGCUCCAAGCACUUUGUGCUAUUAAGUUUUCUCGUGUUAGAUCAACCCCCUUGACCAUUUUCACCCGUUAUAUCAUACUAUUCAACCAACCACCCACUAAACCCUAGGGGACAACUAUCAUCAUAACCAUACAUCGUUUCUUCCAAGGGCUGAAAACUUAAUAGCAUCAAUGACUUUGUGCUAUUAAUAGUACUCUAGCCUAGUUCUCUCNCCUCCGUGCUACUAAGUUGUUUUCAAUGAUGCGGCUUCCAAGUCGACGAUUGGUUCUAUUAGACUUGAUCUACACCAUUAAAAGUAUUUGAAAACUAAAUUUCAUAAUUUUUCGAUAUCAUUAGGCUAGUGAUCAAAAGGUCUCAAAAUUGAUAAUUUUAAUGGUCGAUAUGAUACGUUUGUGAAUUUAACGGUGUAAAACAAUCCAAAUCUGAUGAAAUUUUUAUAGAAAAUUCUUUUCACUAUUUAGAGUAAGGUCAGUACCUUUGAUCUUAAAUUCAAGUAUUUUUUUAUUAUUUUUUAUGAGAUUUUUAUUUUCAGUCGUUCAUUUUAGACUACUCGUUUCAUAGAUAAAUGGUGCCGAAAAAUUAUGAAAUUUAGUUUUCAAAUACUUUUAAUAGUGUAGAUCAAGUCUAAUGGAGCCGAUCGUCGAUUUGGAAGCUGCAACAUUGAAAAUAACUUGGUAGCACGGAGGCCUCCGUGCUACCGAUAGUAUACCAGCCUAGCGCUCUCUCUCUCUCUCUCUCUCUCUAUCUCUCUCUCUCUCUCUCUCUAUAUAUAUAUAGAGAGAGACUCUCUCUCUCUAUAUAUAUAUAUAUAAAAAGAGAAAGAGAAAGAGAGAGAGAGAGAGAGAGAGUCUGACUACCAUAUUCUUAUAUAUGAAUACGAUUGUUUUCGUAUUCAUAAGUCAUUUUCGAUGAUAGAGCGCUUCUGAAUCGACAUCCAUACUGUUAAAUAUUAUCUAGAACAUUUAAAACUUCUAGAAAAUAAAUUUCAUAAUUUUUCGACAUUAUUUACCUUACAAUCAAAAUGUACAAAAUUGACAAUUUUUAACGGCCAGUAUGAAGUACUUGCUAGUUUAACUGUGUAAAAAAAUUAGAAUAUAUUAAAUUUUUAAUAGAAAAUUCUAUUCACUAUCUAGAUAAAGAUUAAUAACUCCAAUCUUAAAUUGAAGGAUCCGAUCAUCCAUUUUUGGGACGUCGUUUGAUUUUUACCAUUCAUUUUAUACCCACUUUAUAGAUUUUAUUAUGAUUUCAAAAAAUUAUAAAAUUUAUUUUUUAGAAGUUUUAAAUACUCUAGAUCAUAUGUAACAGAGUGGAUCAUCGAUUCGGAAGCCCCAUCAUUGAAAAUAACUUAUGAGUACGAAGAACUCUAUAUUCAUAAGAAUAUAGCAAAACUACUCUCCUCCUCUCUCUCUCUCUCUCUCUCUCUCUCUCUCUCUCUCUCUCUCUCUCUAUAUAUAUAUAUAUAUAUAUAUAUUUUGAUGUUAAUUAAUUAUAUAAAAUAUUAUUAGUUUAAAACUAUAAUUAUUCUUAUUCCUAUUGUUCCUAUAUAAUUAUCUAAACACUAUUUUUUUUAUUCUCGAAAAUAACCUAAUUUUUAUCCAAACAUAAAAUGGUCUUAUUUCCGCUUAUGUUCCAAAAUUGUACCUUUCUCAGAAAUAAUAAUAAUAAAAAGUUAAACGAUACUUCAAAUUUUUUCACAUUUAGACUAUUCAAUAGGAAUCCAACUACUAUAUUUAGGAGGACAGCGGCCUUCGUCCUUGUAAGUCGUUUUAAAUGAUAAAAAUUUCGAAUCGAUGAUCGGAACGGUUAAAGUUGAUGUAGAGUAUUUAAAGUGUCUAAAACUAAAUUUUAUGAAUUUUAAACAGCUUGAAUUUUUUAUAGAAAAUUCAUUAUAUUAUUUAGAUAACGUUUAAUAACUCCGAUCAUGAAUUGAAAAUGAAAAAAUCUAACAUCUAUUUUCAUAAGAUUAUUCAUUUUUAACUGAUCAUUUUUCGACUAUUUAAUGAACUUAUUUAGACAACGAAUUUUAAAAUAUAUGAAAUUUAGUUCUAAAUAUUACUCUAAGUCAAGGCAUCUCUAUUAUCUUUUUUUUUUUUUGAGAGAUAGGUAGCACGCUACCCGCUUCGUUUAUUUCAUUAGAAAUUAGAAAUAAACUUAACUGGAAAUGUGAAUCAACUAGGAUUCGAACUUAGGUCUCGGGUACCAACCACCAAGCCCUUUGCCACUUGCUCUAGGAACGGUUUGUGGCAUCUCUAUUAUCUAAAACGAUUUAGGAGGACUAAGGCGCCUGCCUUCCUAAAAAGAUAGCGACUGGACUCAUUCAAUAGCAUGUAAAUAGUUUCAACAUGUCACAACAACAAUCAAAUCAAAUUAAGUGGACUCUUAGUAACGUAUAAUACUCAAAUUGGAAAAAUUCAAAGAAUUAAAUGGCAAAUCGUUUUCUUUGUUGAAACUAAUCCAUAACUUAACUCUAUAAAUUCACCCCUUCUCCAUUCCAAGGUGCACAAUUAUACAUCUUAUAUCUCUCUCUAAAAGAUUAGAUUCAAAAGAGUUUAAAGAGAACUAAUUAAAGAUGCAUUUAACUCCCAUCCUAAGGGCCCUCCUCCUCAUGGCCAUUGUUGCAACACUCUUUUGUGCUCAUUUCGACUUGGUACUUGGAGAUGGUAAGAAUUUUGGCUCUUUAGAACUUUAUCUAGCUAGAGCUUUUAUAAAAGUGUUGUUCAAAUAGGAUUUUUUUUUUAAUUAUUUCUUUCUUUCUCAUGAAAAACCACAUGACGCUCUUGUGAGAAGCUUUAAUCUUUUUAUGCUUAUACUUUUAUAAGAAUAUAGAUGUAGUAAUAGCUGAGCUAAAAUACUAUCUGUAGCAAAUGGGGUAUGUUGCUACUAAUUUAUUUUCGAUGUUGGAGGUUCUGAAUUAAUGAUCGGUACCGUUAAACAUAAUCUAGACCACAUGAAGUAUCUAGAAAUCGAUCAACUUUUAUUUUUUUUCGGUAUUAUUUUCUUGUGCAAUUGACACAAAAAAUGAACGGUUAGAAAUAAAUUAUCCUUCAAAAAGUGAUGAUAGGAUUCGAGAUCAAGAGUGCAGAUCUUAUUUUAAAUAGGUUAAAUAAUUGUUUAAUCAAAAUUCAAUUGAUUUAUAUUUAUUUUUUUUAUACAGUUAAACAAGCAAACGCCUCAUAUCAACUAUUAAAAUUAUAAAUUUUACAAUCCUUUGAUCAUUCGGUCAAUAAUGUUGAAAAGAUUUAAAAUUUGAUUUCUAGAUAUUUCAAGUGGCAUAGAUUAUGUUCAACGAUACCGAUCGUUGAUUUGGAGGCAUCAUCAUCGAAAAUAAAUCAGUAGCAAUAAAUAGAGCCUAUUUGUUAUCGAUAGUAUUCUAAUCCAACUCCAUAUAAUCGAUUAUUACGCAACAAGUUUAAAUACAAGCGGGACAACUUCUCGCUAAAGGUAGCAAGAAGCAAAAGAUUCAUAUUAAAGCUUUUGCAUAACACCCACCAUCCCAAGUGUAAGUAACAAAGAGUUUGAUGGUUGAUGCGUAAGGUCCCCUAAUUGCUUCACAUUUUUAGCUAAAUUUAUUUCUAAAUAAGUGAACGAAAAUCUAUAAAGUGUUUGGUUACUAUACUAUGAAAUAUAUAUAUGGGAAAAAAGAAAAAAAAAAUUAAUAAAAUCAAAAGUAGAAAUAUAUGGACACCCCUCAACUAUAAGAAAUUUUGAAAACUUCAGAAAUAGACACUUAACUUUUCUAAUAUUUGAUGAUCAUACUAUCAAGGAUGCAACAUCAAAUGUUUGAUUAGAUAAGUAAAUUAAUAUAUAUUUUGUCAAAAUUUACAAAUAGUUCUAUCAAAUUUAAUGGUCUUAAUUAAUUUUUAACAAAUAUAAUCAAAAUAAUUAAUAAUUAAUAACUAGUAGAAAUACUAAAUUUAAUAAAAUUACUUAACUAAGUAGAUUACUCUUUCUCUCUCAAAAAAAAAAAAAGAUUACUCAAAUAGCUAAUUAAAAGCUGGGCCAAACACUUCCAAAUAAGAAAACAAAAAAAAAUUAAUUAAUUAAUUAAUAAACGUGCGUGUAUAUUUAUCUUUCAAAUUGAAUGCAAAUUAUCAUAAUACCAAUCUCUAUCUUGAAGCUUAAGUUUUCAAAGAAAUUAUAAUGGUUGUUUCGUAUAAAAUAUAUCAGAGUAAGAGAUUUCGAGUUCAAAUUUUUUUACGGCCAGUUGCCCCUUGGGCUUAUAAAAGGUCUCGUCUCGAGGUAGUAGUGUUGAAUAUGAAUUUUACUAAAAUUAAUACACAUUCCCUAUAUCUCAAAAUUUUAGGAAAAAAAAUUAUUUAAUUAUUUCACAUCACUGAUGGAAUCCAUUUUAUUUUCUAUGGUUUUAUUCAGGGCCAGCAGGGAGGAGACUUUUGGGAAGGGGUGGCUACAAUGGGCCGGGGAAAGAUGCUGUUAACAGUUCCCCUCUGGGAAAUAAAUAAACAAUUUUAAAGCUUAUAUAUAUAAGGGGUGUAAAUUUCAAUUUGCACUUAUGUGGUUUAGAGCAUUUUUAUUUUGCCAUCCUAUAUUUUAAAAAGUUGCAUGCUAUUACCUGCGGUUUAUUUUCAUUUCACUGUAAGUAUCUACAUUAAAUAUGGUAGUAACUAAAGUGACAUUUUUUAUAAAUCAUAUGAUGGUAUACUAUAUAUAUAUAUAAUACUUUACCAUCCUAUGAUUUAUAAAAAAAUAUAAUCACUUAAUUUAUCAUGUUUAAUGCUAUGUCCUUAUGGUGAAACAAAAGUUAAAAUACAGAAUAUUUAAGUGCAACUUUUUGAACCACAAGGCGGUGAAAUAAAAAAUACGCUAAACCAUAUUGGGGCAGAUUGAAGUUUACACAACAAUAAAUAAAACGGAUACUACUAAUAUAAAAUUUGCGUAAGUUUGUAUUUGCAGUGUGUGGAUUUGGACAUUGAUAUGUUGAUACCUGACAUACAUAUAUGUCCAUAUCAUCUCAAAUAUCUCAGAUAUUAUUGUGUGUUAAUUAGAAUGAAUGUAUCAGUGACAUAAAUAUAUAAUAAAUUGAGGUUUGCUUAAGAAGAAUAUUGUUUGGAGCAUAUGGAAUGUAUGCAUGGUUGAUUGUACAGUUCAUGACCUUAAUUUGUGAAAUAUUUUUUUCUUAAUAAGUUGAUUGUACAGUUCAUGGUUGAUUGUAUGCAUGGUUGACCAUUUAGUUUUCUUAAUAGAUGAUUUAGAUUUAAAGCAUAGAUAUCAUUCACCAUAUAUCUAUUUAAAAGGUAUUUUGGUUUUUGUAAAAUAUAUAUUUUGGUUUACAAAAUCAGUUUUAUCCAACUAAGAAUACUGUGAUCUUUUCAAACACCUACAACAAUAGUUGGAUUUCAAAUUACAACCGAAUUGUAAAUUUAAAUUCAAAACAACAUUCAAAACUUAAUUAUAAAUCAAAUUCAAUUUUUUUAAAUAUAAAAACACAAAUUUAAAUAUAAAAACUUUCAACUCCAAUUCAAAAUUUCAAUUUAAAUACUUAACAAAUUGGAUAUUAUCUAAUUUGGUAAGUUACUAAAGUAAAUAAGAUAUUUAAUAUAUAAGAUGCUGACAAAUUUGGUAUAUACUACUAAUUUUUUUUCCAAUAUUGUUAUAUUAACUAAUUCAAAUCUGUAACCUGUUCAACAGGUUACUUCAUGUAAAACCCAAUUAUACCCUUUACUAAUUAAGAGUUAGAUUUUAAUAUUUAUGGUGUAUUGAAGUAUUCCCCUAUAUAUAUAUAUAUAUAUAUAUAUAUAUAUAUAGAGAGAGAGAGAGAGAGAGAGAGAGGCGUCUGGUAUGCUUAUGGAAGCACGGAGCGCUCCGUGCUUCCACUUUGUUUUCGAUGUUCAGACUUUCGAAUCGACGAUCGCUCCGUUAGACUUGAUCUAGAGUAUUUGAAGUAUCUAAGAAGUAAAUUUGCGAUUUUUCGAUAUCAUUUGCCUAGUGAUCGAAGUGGCUCAAAAUCAACGGCUGAAAAUAAAAAUCUUACAAAAUAUGAUGAUAUGACAUUAAAAUUUUAGAUCAAAGUUAUUGAUCUUGUUUUAUGUGGUAUAAAGAAUUUUCUAUCAAAAUUUCAUACGAUUUGGAUAUUUCUACACCGUUAAACUUGCAACCGGCUCACCACGGCCAUUAAAAUUAUUAAUUUUGAGCCCCUUCGAUCACUAGGCAAAUGAUAUCGAAAAAUCAUAAAAUUUAUUUUCUAUGUACUUCAAAUACUCUAGAUCAACUCUAACGGAGCCGAUCGUCGAUUCGAAAGUCUGAACAUCGAAAACAAAGUGGAAGCACGGAGGGCUCCGUGCUUCCAUAAACAUACCAGCCUACUCUAUAUAUAUAUAUAUAGAGAGAGAGAGAGAGAGAGAGAGCUAAGUGGGGUUGAUACAAGGGUCAAAAAAAAGGAAACACCAACUUUCUUAUACUUUGAAAGAAUAGUAGCUUUACACGAUAUAUAGUCUGGUUACUAUAUUCAUAUAUAGAAUUGAGCUCCUAUGCUUUUAAAAGUACUAAGUCAUUGGUGCUUGUAAGUUUUCGACCCUUGGAUUAAGAAAUGUGCGGUUAGGAUGAUAUGGGCCCCCUAGGGUUGAGUGGGUGGUUGGUUAAAUAGUAUCUAACGGGUGAAAAUGAUCAAAUGCGUAGAUCUAAUGGUAGAAAAUUUACAAGCACUAAGUGCUUAGUGCUUUUACAAGCACCGUAGCCGGACUCUUCAUAUAUAUAUAUAUAUAUAUAUAGUCCAACUAUUAUACUCUUAUAAGUAUGAUCGUUUUCGUACUCACAAUUUAUUUUUGAUGAUAGAGCUUCUGAAUCGGCGAUUUAUACUGUUAAAUAUUAUCUAGAGUUUUUAAAAUUUUUAGAAAUAAAAUUUUCAUAAUUUUUUAUAUCAUUUAUCUUACGAUAAAAAAAUUUCAAAAUUGACAAUUUUUAACGGCCAGUAUAUGAUACUUGCUAGUUUAACGAUGUAAAGAAUCGAAAUCUCUUGAAUUUUUGAUAGAAAAUUUUAUUUACUAUCUAGAUAAAUUUAGAUAAAAAUUAAUAACUCUAAUCUAAUAUUAAAGUAUCCGAGCAUUCAUUUUUAGGGCAUUGUUCGAUUUUAAUCAUUCAUUUUAUGCCCGCUUGGAUAGAUUUUAUUAUGAUUUUGAAAAAUAAUGAAAUUUAUUUUCUAAAAAUUUCAAGUACUUUAGAUCAUAUUUUACGGUAUGGAUCAUCAAUUCGGAAGCUCCAUCUUUGAAAAUAAUUUAUGAGUACGAAGGGCUCUAUACUCAUAAAGGUAUAGUAACACUACUCUCUAGAUCUCUCUCUAUAUUGAACGGAGUGUUUUAGUAAUUUAAUUGAAAAUUUGCAGAGUUUUAAACACACACACAAACAUANUUCAUAAUUUUUCGACAUGAUUUGUCUAGUAAUCAAAAGAUCUCAACAAUUGAUAAUUUUAAUGGUUGAUAUGAUGCGUUUGUGAAUUUAACAGUAUAAAACAAUUCAAAUUUGAUGAAAUUUUUAUAAAAUUCUUUUUUUUUUUACUAUUCAAAAUAAGAACAGUAUCUCUGAUCUUAAAUCUAAGUUUUUCAUCAUCAUUUUUUAUAAUUUUUUUUUUCAGUCGUUCAUUUUUAGACUACUCAUUUGAUAAAUAAAUGAUGUCGAAAAUUAUAAAAUUUAAUUUUCAUAUAUUUUUAAUAAUAUAGAUCAAAUAUGACGGAGCCAUUCGUCCACUUAAAAACCAUAUCAUUGAAAAAACUUGAUAGGUCUGCGCUACGGAUAACAUAAGAUAUGGACUAUAUAUAUAUAUAUAUAAAUAUCAUUAAUUGCUUCUAAGCUUUUAUUAGUCCAAGUGUUAGGUUCCUAUCUUUAUAAGGCCUAGGGUUGAGGAUAAAAUCAAGAUAUUGAGUUGAUCUUUAUAAGGCCUAGGGUUGAGGAUAAAAUCUAGAUAUUGAGUUGUACAUAUAAAUGUCAUUCAUUGUUUCUAUGCUUUUAUUAGUCCAAGUGUUAGGUUCCCAUCUUUAUAAGGCCAAAGGGUUGUUAUUUUCAGCAACCAUGGGGAGAAGGAUGAGAAAGAGAGAGAAAGAGAGAGAGAGGGAGAGAGAAUUGCAUGCUCCUGGUGCGCCAUGUCCAUGGCGCACCAUUUGAAACCUCUGAAGCUUGAAAUAGUCGACUUUUUCAAUUCAUGAUCACAGUUAUUAAACGUUAUCUAAAUAGUGUAGAAAUUUUUAUUAAAAAUUCGAGUAGUUUGGAUUGCUCUGUACUAUUAAGCAAAUAGUUCAUAUAGACAUUUUAAAUACUCUAGAUUGAUUUUAAUAAUUUUCAUCAUCGAUUUGUGAUUUUUAUUAUUAAAAACGACUUGAUAGAACGAAAACCUCCAUCCUCUUAAAAUGAGAGUAGCUAAAUUUUAUAUAUAUAUAUAUAUCUAGCUACUCUCAUUUUAAGCGGGUGGAGACCUUCGUUCUAUCAAGUCCAUUUUAAUAAUAAAGAUCACAAAUCGAUGAUGAAAAUCUUUAAAAUCGAUAUAGAGUAUUUAAAAUGUCUACAUAAGCUGUUUACUUAUUUAACGGUUCAGAGCAAUCCAAACUACUCGAAUUUUUAAUAAAAAUUUAUACACUAUUUAGAUAAUGUUUACUAAAUGUGACCAUGAAUUGAAAAAGUCAACUAUUUCAAGUUUUAGAGGUUUCAAAUGGUGCACCACGGACGUGGUGCACCAGGCGCAUGCAAUUCUCUCUCCCCCUCUCUCUCUCUCUCUCUCAUAAUUCUCCCCAUGGUUGUUGAAAAUAACAACCCUUGGGCCUUAUAAAGAUGGGAACCUAACACUUGGACUAAUAAAAGCAUAGAUACAAUGAAUGACAUGUUUGUACAACUCAAUAUCUUGAUUUUAUUCUCAAGCCUAGCUAGCUUAAUUGGAAAAAUUCAAAGAAUUAGAUGGCAAAUCGUUUUCUUUGUUGAGACUAAUUGAUAACUUAACUCUAUAAAUUCACCCCUUCUCCAUUCCAAGGUGCCAACAACACAAUUACCUUAUAUCUCUCUCUAAAAGAUUAGAUUCAAAAGAGUAUAAAGAGAACUAAUUAAAGAUGCAUUUAACUCCCAUCCUAAGGGCCCUCCUCCUCAUGGCCAUUGUUGCAACACUCUUUUGUGCUCAUUUCGACUUGGUUCUUGGAGAUGGUAAGAAUUUUGGCUCUUUAGAACUUUAUCUAAAGCCACAUGACGUUCUUGUUAGAAGCUUUAGUGUCUUCAAUUUUGUUUUUUUUUUUUUUUUUGAGAGAUAGUUAGUACGCUACCCGCUUCGUUUAUUUCAUUUAGAAAUAAACUUAGCAAGAAAUGUGAAUUAACUAGGAUUCGAACUUAGGUCUCAGGUACCAACCACCAAGCCCUUUGCCACUUGCUCUAGGGACGGUCGAUGUGUCUUCAAUUUUGCUAAAAAGAUCUUUUUAUGCUUAUAUACUUUUACAAGAAUAUAGAUGUAGUAAUAGCUGAGUUAAAAUACUAUCUGUAGCAAAUGGGCUAUGUUGCUACUAAUUUAUUUUCGAAGUUGGAGGUUCUGAAUUAAUGAUCGGUACCGUUGAAUAUAAUCUAGACCACUCGAAAUAUCUAGAAAUCAAUCAACUUUUAUGUUUUUUCGGUAUUAUUUUCUUAUUCAUUAAAUGGACACAAAAAAUGAACGGUUAGAAAUAAAUUAUCUUUCAAAAAGUGCUGACAGGAUUCAAGAUCAAGAGUGCAUAUCUUAUUUUAAAUAGCUUAAAGAAUUGUUUAAUCAAAAUUCAAUUGAUUUAUAUUUCAUUAUACAGUUAAACGAGCAAAUGCCUCAUAUCAACUAUUAAAAUUAUAAAUUUAACAAUCCUUUGAAAAGAUUUAAAAUUUGAUUUCUAGAUAUUUUAAGUGCCAUAGAUCAUGUUCAACGAUACCGGUCGUUGAUUUGGAGGCCUCAUCAUCGAAAAUAAAUCAGUAGCAAUAGAGCAUGUUACCGACUGUUCCUAAAGCAAGUGGCAAAGGGCUUGGUGGUUGGUACCCGAGACCCAAGUUCGAAUCCUAGUUGAUUCACAUUUCCAGCUAAGUUUAUUUCUAAAUGAAAUAAACGAAACAGAUAGCGUGCUAUCUAUCUCUCAAAAAAAAGCAAUAGCUAGAGCAUGUUUGUUACCGAUAGUAUUCAAGCCCAACUACUCCAUAUAAUAGAAUAUUACACAACAAGUUUAAAUACAAGCUGGGCAGCUUCUCGCUGAAGGUAGCUAGAAGCAAAAGAUUCAUAUUAAAACUUUUGCAUAACACCCGCCCGCCCGGAGAGUAAGUGGCAAAGAAUUUGAUGGUUUAUGUCUGAGGUCCAAUAAUUACUUCACAUCUUUUGCUAAAUUUAUUUCUAAAUAAAUAAACGAAACUGAUAACAUGUCACCAUUCUCUCAAAAAAAAAUGUUUUGCUUGACUGCAUUUUAUUCAUAUUACCCAACGGAUGUCUUCUGCUUCUCAAGUAAUAACGAAAGCCACUCAAACUGUUAUUGUAUGGGAUUUCAUUGAAAUAUACAAAUCUUUAUAUUUCUUUCAAUCUAUACGGACACUUCUAUAAGUCUCGUGUGUCCGUAUCGGACACGCGCGUAUCCGUGUCGGAUACGUGUCCGAUCUGGACACUUUUUAGACGCGCAUUUUAUGUUGAUCUAUAGCGCAAACAAUUAAAAAAUAUAUAUACAUAUUUUUAUUUUAUCUUAUUUAUGCAUAUAUAAUGUAAGAUAAUAAAUAUUUUAGAUUUUUGAUGUAUGCAUACAAAUUUUUUUUGAUAAUACAAGUAAAUUAUGUAUGAUGGAGUAUUUUUUUCUUAAAAUAUAUAAACUAUCAAUAAAAAUUUUACAAACUUUUAUUUGUACAAGAAAUAUAAUAAUAUUUUACCAAAAUUAAUAUUUUAUAUAUAACAAAUUUAUAUUAUUAUAUAUAUUAAUAAUAUUUUAUAUAUGAAUUAAUAAUAUUAUUAUAUUCAUAAAUAUUUUAUUCACAUCACUGAUAAAAGCCAUAUUUUCUCCUGCUUUAUUCAGGGGCAGGGAGGAGACUUUGCUAGGAAGGAGUGGCUACAAUGGCCGGCGAACCCCGCAGUUAUCAAUUCCCUCCGGAAUAAAUAAACAAAAGAUAUUUAAAGCUUAUAUAUAAUAUAUAUAAUAUAUUAUAUAAUAUAUAUAUAUAUAAUAUAUAUUUUUAAUAUAUAUAUAUAUAUAUAUAGCAGGGCUAUUGUGCUCUCAAAAAGUAUGGAGGCCUCUGUGCUCCUGAGCCGUUUUCGAUGGAGUUUUCGAAUCGACGAUCGGUUCCGUUAAACUUGAUCUAACAUAUUUGAAGUUUCUAGAAAAUAAUUUUUGCAAUCUUUCGAUAUCAUUUACCUAGCAAUCGAAAGGAUUCAAAAUCAAUAAUUUUUAACGGCUGAAAAUAAAAAUCCUAUAAAAAGUGGUGAUAUAGCACUAAAAUUUUCGAUCAGAAAUAUUGGUCUUGUUGUAGAUAGUAUAAAGAAUUUUGUAUCAAAAUUUCAUCUGAUUUGAAUACUUCUAUAUCGUUAAAUUUGAAAACGACAGAUAUCAACCAUUAAAAAUUAUGGAUUUUGAAUCCUUUCGAUCACUAGGUAAAUGAUAUCAAAAAAUCGCAAAAAAUUAUUUUCUAAAAACUUUAAAUGCGCUAGAUCAAAUCUAACGGAGCCGAUCGUCGAUUCGAAAAUUCCAUCAUCGAAAAUGACUUAGGAUCGCAGAGGCCUCCGUGCUCCUAAGAGCACAGCAGCCUUACUCUCUCUCUAUAUAUAUAAAUGGUGUAGAUUUUAAUUUGCACUUCUGUGGUUUAGCGCAUAUUUAUUUUGCCAUCAUGUAGUUUAAAAAGUUAUUUAUUGUUAUCUGCGGUUUAUGUUCAUGUCACCGUAAAAAUCUACAUAAAGUAAUAUUUUUUGUAAAUCAUAUGGUGGCAUAUAUAUAUAUAUAUAUAUAUAUAUAUAUAUAUAUAUAUGAUAUUUUACUAUUCUAUAAUCUGCACUUUACCAUCCUAUGAUUUACAAGAAAUAUAUAUAAUCACUUUACCCCUUUUAAUGCAGAAUAAUUAAAUGCAACUUUUUGAACCACACGAGGCGGUGAAAUAAAAAAUACGCUAAAUCAUAUUGGGGCAUAUUGAAGUUUACACAACAAUAAAUAAAAUGGAUACUACUAAUAUAAAAUUUGCGUAUGUAUGUAUUUGCAGUGUGUGGAUUUGGACAUUGAUAUGUUGAUACCUGAUAUACAUAUAUGUCCAUAUCAUCUCAAAUAUCUCAGAUAUUAUUGUGUGUUAAUUAGAAUGAAUGUAUCAGUGACAUAAAUACAUAAUAAAUAAGUUGAGGUUUGCUUAAAGAAGAAUAUUGUUUGGAGCAUAUGGAAUGUAUGGUUGAUUGUACAGUUCAUGACCUUAAUUUGUGAAAUAUUGGGUGAUUCAUAAUAUGNCUCUCUCUCUCUCUCUCUCUCUCUCUCUCUCUCUCUCUCUCUAUAUAUAUAUAUAUAUAUAUAUAUAUAGAACAAACCAUGAACUCUACAAAAGCCUAACUUAUCUCAACUAAGGGCUCUAACUUUCUCAGCAGCUAUUCGUUUAUAUAUAGCCACAGCUCCAUGGAUGUGCCAAGUGUUCUACACAUGAACAGUGGAGUUGGCGACAUGAGCUAUGCUGAGAAUUCCACCAUUCAAGUUAAUUUGAACCUACACCCUCCUACUUAUAUGUAUUUAUAUAUGUUAUAUAUUUGACUUUGCUUUCCAAAUAUAUAUAUAUUUCUGCAUGCAUGUUUGCGUAUCUGUGGAAAUUUACACAGGAUAUAUAUAUGCUUUCCAAAUAAUAUAUGUAUUUAUAGUGCUUGUUUGGUCAGAUUGGAGGUAGAAUAACUUUUACAUCCUUCCAAAUGCUUUUCACUUAAGCCUAAAUAGAAACUUCAAUUCUAUCAUUUGGGCUUAAAAGUUUAUCUUGGCCUUUUACCUUCACUAAAGAACCUAGCUAUAUAUAUACGUUAUAUAUUUGACUUUGCUUUCCAUAUACAUAUAUAUAUAUAUAUAGAGUUGAGCUGGAAUGCUAUCGGUAGCAAACGGGCUCCGUUGCCACCCAUUUGUUUUCGAUGAUGGAGCUUUCAAAUCAACGAUCGGCACUGUUGAACAUGAUCUAUAUCACUUAAAGUAUUUAGAAAUUAAAUUUCAAAUCUUUUCGACAUCAUUUACCUAAUGAUCAAAGGGUUUCAAAAUUAGUAAUUUUAAUGGUUGAUAUGAGGGGUUUUUUCGUUUAACGGUGUAAAGCUAUCCAAAUCAAUUGAAUUUUGGUUAGAAAAUUCUUUAAACUAUUUAGAACAAGAUCUAUAUUCUCGAUCAUGAUUACAAAAUUUCUAUCAUCACUUUUUAGAGGAUAUUCAUUUUCAGCCAUUUAUUUUUACGCCCACUUGAUGGACAAGAAAACAAUAUCGGAAAAGUAUGAAAUUUGAUUUCUAGAUACUUCAAGUGGUAUAGAUCAUGUUCAACGAUGUCGAUCGUCGAUUUGGAGGCUCCAUCAUCGAAAACAAAUGGGUGGCAACGGAGCCCGUUUGCUACCGAUAGUAUUCCAGCUCAACUCUAUAUAUAUAUAUAUAUAUAUAUAGAGUCCGGCUACUAUACUAUCGAUAGUACCAACCCCUUGGUACUAUUGAGUUUUUUACCGUUAGAUCUACCCUUUGAUCAUUUCCAUCCGUUAGAUUAUAUUAUUAAACUAACCAUUCACUCAACCCUAGGGGACCACUAUCAAUUUAACCGGGGACCACUAUCAUCCUAACCGCACAUCUUUUCAUCCAACGGCCGAAAACUCAAUAGUACCAAGGGCUUGGUACUAUUGAUAGUAUAGUAGUAUAAUUCUAUAUAUAUAUAUAUAUAGUUGAGCUAGAGUACUAUCGAUAGCAAACGGGCUCCGUUGCCAUUCAUUUGUUUUCGAUGAUGGAGCCUCCAAAUCAACAAUCGGCACCGUUGAACAUGAUCUAUACCACUUGAAGUAUAUAGAAAUCAAAUUUUAUACAUUUUCGAUAUUGUUCUCUUAUCCAUCGAGUGGAUACAAAAAUGAACGGCUGAAAAUGAAUAUUCUUUAAACAAUAAUGAUAGGAGUUUUGUAAUCAAGAUCAAGAGUGUAGAUCUUGUUUUAAAUAGUUUAAAGAAUUUUCUAACAAAAAUUCAAUUGAUUUGGAUAUCUUUACGC